CCUACGGGAGGCAGCAGUGAGGAAUAUUGGUCAAUGGGCGAGAGCCUGAACCAGCCAAGUCGCGUGAGGGAGUACUGCCCUAUGGGUUGUAAACCUCUUUUGUCGGGGAGCAAAAGCCUGACGUGUCCGGCUGUGAGAGUACCCGACGAAAAAGCAUCGGCUAAGUCCGUGCCAGCAGCCGCGGUAGUACGAGGGAUGCGCGCGUUAUCCGGAUUUAUGGGGUUUAAAGGGUGCGCAGGCGGAUUUUUAAGUAUGCGUGCAAAUCGUGGGGUUCAACCCCAUCAAGCGUGGGAAACUGGGGAUCUAGAGUGGGCGAGAGGAAUGCGGAAUGCGAGGUGUAGCGGUGAAAUGCAUAGAUAUAACGCAGAACCCGGAUGGCGAAGG
rnacentral:rRNA from 1 species